CAAAUGUUUGUGAGCUCGGGAAUGGGUCUUCUCCCGGCUCUUAUUCCAGCUUUCAUUUUAUCCAUCCGCUUAUAGACGUCCAGUGUCUGUGUGUUUCUCUUCUUGGUGGCAGUUGAAAGAGACAAUCAUUGUGAUUUGUUGCUUGGUGAAUAUGGUUAUGGCGGGUAUUGAUUAUCCGCUUGGCUCCUGUUUGGAGCAGUCUCUUUUCCCAAUAUUUCCUCAUGUAUGGAGUGAAUUGGAUGAACAUGUGUGGCUGGUAUUGCAAGGAUUCUCCUCCCGGCUAACGCUCUUCCCUGCCUUUAGUGCAGUGGUUGUGACUCUCAGAGUUACCCGAGAUGCAAUCGUUCAAGAAACUCAUGAAACCGUUGUGAUGCGAUUUCUAAUGUUUACUUGUUGUGAUUUGUAUUUUCAUUCUAUCUUAGGUUUAUCUGUUUCGUAUUCCAUUGGGCUCUUUGUAGCUUUGUUGUACUCUCCUUUAAUGGAGCUUAAACUCUUCUGAAUUUAAUACAAGUUGGUUUGAUCAAAAAAAAAAAAGAACAAAGGUCCCAAGACAGGGGAAAGACUUAAGCAAGACGAGAAGAAAAAAAAAGAAAAAAAAAUGGUUUAAUCAGGUUACGAAGAGAGGUACGUGUAAGUGUCCAACCCACCGGUUCUCUAUGAUAGAUAUAUCUCCUACCUAUUAGGAACAUGGGACCAAUUUCCCAGUUUUGGGUCUUCUAUAUUAUUUCUCUUUUUGGAUACAUUGUAUUUGCAUCGUUGAUCAUUAGAACGAUGAUAACUAUUCACUUAUCCGGUUGGAUUCGUUCGGUGGAGAAAGUAUUUGGUGAAAGACCAUAAUCUGGUCAAUCCAUAUAGUCCAUAAUCAAGUUUUAAAACGUAUAUAACUGUUAAACUGUAAACUAAUAGUGACCUUAGCAAGAGACGCCAGCUAUGAAAGGUGGUGGCAAGCGGAUGUGGUCACACAUGUACACAUUCACAAACACAUAAGCUGAAACUGCAUAAAAUGUGUAAGACAACCACAUGCAUGCAAAUACAAGUACAUGUAAGAAUGUGUACAGAUUCCAGCGCACACACUCAUA